rnacentral:rRNA from 1 species
ACGGGUGAGUAACACGUAUCCAACCUGCCGUCUACUCUUGGACAGCCUUCUGAAAGGAAGAUUAAUACAAGAUGGCAUCAUGAGUCCGCAUGUUCACAUGAUUAAAGGUAUUCCGGUGGACGAUGGGGAUGCGUUCCAUUAGAUAGUAGGCGGGGUAACGGCCCACCUAGUCUUCGAUGGAUAGGGGUUCUGAGAGGAAGGUCCCCCACAUUGGAACUGAGACACGGUCCAA